UCGCAGCUUGCGCCGGCAGUCCCGCCAGAGUUCCCGGCUUUACCCGUUGGCAACUGGCGGUAGGGGUUGCGCUCGUUAUGGCACUUAAGCCGACACCUCACGGCACGAGCUGACGACAACCAUGCAGCACCUCGACUCAGACCAUUGCUGGCUACAUCGUUUCCAAUAUAUUCCUGAGUCGUUUGAGCCCGGGUAAGGUUCCUCGCGUAUCAUCGAAUUAAACCACAUGUUCCUCCGCUUGUGCGGGCCCCCGUCAAUUCCUUUGAGUUUCACCGUUGCCGGCGUACUCCCCAGGUGGAGCGCUUAACGCUUUCGCUCGGACACCCAAGUCUCAUGCGACCCGGACACCUAGCGCUCAUCGUUUACUGUGUGGACUAC
rnacentral:misc_RNA from 1 species